GACGAACGCUGGCGGCGUGCUUAACACAUGCAAGUCGAACGAAGAGCGAUGAAGCUUGCUUCUAUCAAUCUUAGUGGCGAACGGGUGAGUAACGCGUAAUCAACCUGCCCUUCAGAGGGGGACAACAGUUGGAAACGACUGCUAAUACCGCAUACGAUCUAACCUUGGCAUCGAGGAUGGAUGAAAGGUGGCCUCUAUUUAUAAGCUAUCACUGAAGGAGGGGAUUGCGUCUGAUUAGCUAGUUGGAGGGGUAACGGCCCACCAAGGCGAUGAUCAGUAGCCGGUCUGAGAGGAUGAACGGCCACAUUGGGACUGAGACACGGCCCAGACUCCUACGGGAGGCAGCAGUGGGGAAUCUUCCGCAAUGGACGAAAGUCUGACGGAGCAACGCCGCGUGAGUGAUGACGGCCUUCGGGUUGUAAAGCUCUGUUAAUCGGGACGAAAGGCCUUCUUGCGAAUAGUUAGAAGGAUUGACGGUACCGGAAUAGAAAGCCACGG
rnacentral:rRNA from 1 species